rnacentral:rRNA from 1 species
CCUUUGAUACUGCUGGUCUUGAGUGCAGUGAAGUGGCUGGAAUAUGUGGUGUAGCGGUGAAAUGCAUAGAUAUCACAUAGAACACCGAUUGCGAAGGCAGGUCACUAACCGCCGACUGACGCUGAUGGACGAAAGCGUGGGGAGCGAACGGGAUUAGAUACCCCGGUAGUCCACGCCGUAAACGAUGGACACUAGCUGUCGGGCCGAUUUAGGUUCGGUGGCCAAGCGAAAGUGAUAAGUGUCCCACCUGGGGAGUACGUCGGCAACGAUGAAACUCAAAGGAAUUGACGGGGGCCCGCACAAGCGGUGGAGCAUGUGGUUUAAUUCGAUGAUACGCGAGGAACCUUACCAGGGCUUAAAUGUAGUGGGACAGGCUUAGAGAUAGGCUUUUCUUCGGACUCAUUACAAGGUGCUGCAUGGUUGUCGUCAGCUCGUGCCGUGAGGUGUCAGGUUAAGUCCUAUAACGAGCGCAACCCCUACCGUUAGUUGCCAGCGAGUAAAGUCGGGGACUCUAACGGAACUGCCGGUGCAAACCGCGAGGAAGGUGGGGAUGACGUCAAAUCAUCACGGCCCUUACGUCCUGGGCUACACACGUGCUACAAUGGCCGGUACAAUGAGCAGCCACGUCGCAAGGCGGAGCGAAUCUAUAAAACCGGUCACAGUUCGGAUCGGGGUCUGCAACCCGACCCCGUGAAGCUGGAAUCGCUAGUAAUCGGAUAUCAGCCAUGAUCCGGUGAAUACGUUCCCGGGCCUUGUACACAC